GGCGCUAUAGCCAAGUGGUUACGGCGACAGAUUAGAAUGCACUUAUAUGUCUGGAUGCACUUAUAUAUCUGGAGCUUAUUAUCUGUUCCUCUUUGAGGGCGCAGGUUCAAAUCCUGCUGGCGUCG